ACAUCUAAGCGCAGCGGUGAGCCUGUCCCCAACCUCCCCAGAGGCCAAGCCCCUUGCUUAGGAGCAGCACUGCUUCUUGCAGCAGCACUUCUGCUGGCAGCACUUCUGCUGGCAGCAGCCCUUCCCGCACCCACAGGAGCUGCACCCGCACGAGCUGCACCCGCAGGAGCGGCGGCAGCAGCAGACCACGGGGACACUGCAGCAGCCCCCACAGCAGCCGCAGCAGCAGGGGCAGCAGGACGAGCAGCAGCCCACCCGGUAGCACCUGCAGGUGGUACAGCUGCCCCCGCAGCCCCCGCAGCCUCCACAGCCUCCGCAGCUACUGCAGCCUCCGCAGCCUCCGCAGCCUCCGCAGCCACUGCUGCAGCCACCGCAGCCUCCACAGCCACAGCACCCCAUGGUGUCAGUAGAGAGGACUCAGGACAGCGUCCUGGGGGAUCCAAGAGACGGAACAGAGGAAAGCCUUCCGAGGCCGACGUCCCUGCCGACCGGAGGUGUCAGACCCUUGGCCGUUUCCAAGCCUCCGGUGCCCCCGCCUCAAGGAGAAGCGCCUGUGGGGCCUCCCCAUCCUCCGUGCCUCCCGCUGUCCUGGGUGGGAGCUCAGCUUCUCCAAAUAAACUGAGAUAUGAUGAGAGUCGCGCCAACUUAUUAGUAAAAAGAAGAUAGCAGGAAGAAGAGUCUCGGCAUUGCGAGGCCCUGGGCCCUGGAGUCGAGCUUGGGCGGGGGCUGGGUCACCUCAAGCUGUGUGCGCCCCAGAACCUGGCCCCGCAGGCUGUGGCCCUGGCCGCUGGGCCUCUGCAGCCCAGGAGUGGGAGCCCUGAGCCUGGUGGCUGGGAAACACGACGGCAGGAAGAGUUGGAGACUGUGCCCGAAAUCAGGUCCUCCUUGGCGGAUGACACACGUAUUACCUUCAAGACACAACAGAGCGAAGUACAAGGAAAGCUUGUUUGUAAGCAGCCGAGUGGGAGCGCGGGGACAAACAAGUCAUUUCAGUGCCACGUAAUGAGGCCUGUUGGGAAGGCAAGUCCCAGGGACAGGCCCUCCCCUCACACAGGAGGUCUGGGCCCGGUGGGGGGCCCUCCUCGAUCAUCGCCCCAGUCUUCCAUGUGCCGAGAGCACCCCUCUAUCAGGGCAGGAGGGUCUCUGGGCCCUGCACGUUAGGGUCCCUGUACCACCAGCACACAAACUAAAUCCCCUGAAGCACACGAGGGUCCCUCUGCCACUGAGGGGCCGGAGCUGAGCCUGCGAGAGGCCAGCAUCUGCUGGGUGAGAUGCCCAACCCGCUCAGGCCCCAGGGAGGUGGGGUGUCCUCAGCCCCUGCCCUGUGUCCCUGCCCCCGAGCUCGCUGCCUCUGUCACGGAGGUGUGAGGGCCAAUUGCUUCAGGGUUUGUGUGGCGGAAACACAGGCAAGGGAAACGACAGAUUUACUUGGUAAAUCUCUCUCAGCACCAAUACAGACUAUUCUCGUAUAAUCAAGUCUCCCUUCCGGUCAGCAGGGGCAAGCAUCCACUGUCAAACUUCUCCUUGGGCUCUAAAUUAGUCAUUCCAGGGGGGCUCACGUGUCAGGAUGGUGUUUGCAACAGUGGCAGGAAGUCGCUGAGCAAUGUUGACAAGAUUACCCAAUUCAUAUUCCUCUUAAAUUUGCUUACAUGUCAUUCUAGAAUAAUGGGCCUGAAAGAGCCUAUCCGAUGCUUUACUUUGGGCAAGGAAUGGACAUCGGACACUAGACCUGGGAAUACUUUUACCCUCUUCACCUAUUUGCCAAAAUUUAAUUACCUUAAAACAUUUUCAGCUUUAUUUAAUUUUUAUUAAAAUGUGGAUCUUCAUUAAUUAUAAGUUGAUCUUUUAAUUUUGUAAGUAAUCCUGCAGGUUUCCUUUUUUUUCAAGAAAGUUAAUUUUUAAAUAUGUGAAAACUAGUUCAAAAUUGUUUUACUUUUACAAUCCUAUCUUUUGUUCUUUUGAUGAAAUAUAUUCCCAUUUUGUAUAGUUUAAAUACUAUUGCAUUUCAUUUUUAAUCCUUUAGGCCAGUCCCAUUAAUAGAUCACAAGGUAUUUUUUUUUAUCACAAGGUAUUUUUUAAACCACUGUGAUCAUAAAUACUUAAUUUGUUGAAUGAAGGUAAGAGAAAAUGUUCUGCAAUAAAGAUAUAAUAAUUUAUGAAUUAUGUGUAUCUUUAUUUUACUACUCAAACAGCCUGACCCAUCAACACAAUACCCAGCCAUAGUGCAACAGUAAUUAAAUUCAGCUGACUUGGACAUCUUGCCAAAAAUCCACAGAUUUACACAGAUUUUUUUCAUUCGGUUGUUAUAAAGGUAUAUUUGACAAGGCAGAAGGAUAGAGCAUAUUUUAACAAUCUGCUAGUGUGAUUUAUCACUUUUUGAUGCUGAGACAUGCAGUCUGCACACUUUCAUUCGUGUUCAAAUCUUGGCCCUGCAAAUGUUGGGGCUGGGAGUGCGUGCAAACGAAAGUGGAGGGCAUCCACCAGCCCAGAGCGAUGGUGGAGUGAGGUUGGAAUAUAGGGGGCCGGGAGGAGCUGGCUGGAGAUCAGUUGGGAAUGCAGGGGCCACACUCCAGAAAGGCUUGAAAAUCACCCUCGACCCUUUGCAUUCAUCCUGUGGGUGACUGUUAGUCACGGGAGGAGGAAGUCCCAGUGGUCCAGGGAACGGGUGAAUUGUUCUUCCCACUGGGCAGGCAGUUAUGAUGCUCAGAAACAUGUCUUCUAGGAGGGAAACCCCAAGACACUAUUUAUUCCUCUUCGGUCAAAGGAUGGGAGGCAGGGCUUGAAUAGGUCCAUUUCAAGUCUUGCUUUCAUAUGGAGUUACCCUCUUUUAUUUAUUUUUUUAAAGAUUUUAUUCAUUUAUUCAUGUGACACAGAGAGAGAGGCAGAGACAUAGGAAGAGGGAGGAGAAGCAGUCUCCAUGCCAAGAGCCCAAUGCGGGACCCCGGGAUCAUGCCCUGAGCCAAAGGCAGAGAUGCUCAACUGCUGAACUACCCAGGCAUCCCUGGAGUUACCUCAGUUAGAAAAAUAGGGGCUGGCUGUUGUUUUUCCCAAAAAUGUUGUUUUUCCCAAAAUCACCUGAGGGUAAAAAACAACAAAAACAAACAAACAAACAAACAAAAAAAAACCCUGAGAAAAAAGACAGCACAUUCUUUAAAAUGGAAUAUCUGGUAAUAAAAUAAAAUAAAAUAAAAUAAAAUAAAAUAAAAUAAAAUAAAAAUAAAAUAAAAUAAAAUAAAAUAAAAUAAAAUAAAAUAAAAUAAAAUAAAAUAAAAUAAAAUAAAAUAAAAUAAAAUAAAAUGGAAUAUCUGGUCAUUCAUUCUAUUGUUCAGGGGAUGCUUUA
rnacentral:lncRNA from 1 species